AAGAACCCUGAAAGAUGAUCAGGUUGAUAGGUCAGAGGUGGAAGCGCGGUAACGUGUGGAGCUGACUGAUACUAAUCGUUCGAGGACUUAACCAA
rnacentral:rRNA from 1 species